ensembl:snRNA U6 U6 spliceosomal RNA
GCGCUCACUUCACCACCAUAUAUACUAAAAUUGGAAUGACACAGAGGAGAUUGGCAUGGGCCCUGCACAAACAUGACAUGUAAAAAUAUCAUCAGAAACACUUGGAA